rnacentral:rRNA from 1 species
CUGGCUCAGGAUGAACGCUGACAGAAUGCUUAACACAUGCAAGUCUACUUGAUCCUUCGGGUGAUGGUGGCGGACGGGUGAGUAACGCGUAAAGAACUUGCCCUGCAGUCUGGGACAACAUUUGGAAACGAAUGCUAAUACCGGAUAUUAUGUGAGUUUCGCAUGAAAUUCAUAUGAAAGCUAUAUGCGCUGCAGGAGAGCUUUGCGUCCUAUUAGCUAGUUGGUGAGGUAACGGCCCACCAAGGCAACGAUCGGUAGCCGGACUGAGAGGUUGAACGGCCACAUUGGGACUGAGACACGGCCCAGACUCCUACGGGAGGCAGCAGUGGGGAAUAUUGCACAAUGGGGGAAACCCUGAUGCAGCGACGCCGCGUGGAGGAAGAAGGUCUUCGGAUUGUAAACUCCUGUUGUUGAGGAAGAUAAUGACGGUACUCAACAAGGAAGUGACGGCUAACUACGUGCCAGCAGCCGCGGUAAAACGUAGGUCACAAGCGUUGUCCGGAAUUACUGGGUGUAAAGGGAGCGCAGGCGGGAAGACAAGUUGGAAGUGAAAUCUAUGGGCUCAACCCAUAAACUGCUUUCAAAACUGUUUUUCUUGAGUAGUGCAGAGGUAGGCGGAAUUCCCGGUGUAGCGGUGGAAUGCGUAGAUAUCGGGAGGAACACCAGUGGCGAAGGCGGCCUACUGGGCACCAACUGACGCUGAGGCUCGAAAGUGUGGGUAGCAAACAGGAUUAGAUACCCUGGUAGUCCACACCGUAAACGAUGAUUACUAGGUGUUGGAGGAUUGACCCCUUCAGUGCCGCAGUUAACACAAUAAGUAAUCCACCUGGGGAGUACGACCGCAAGGUUGAAACUCAAAGGAAUUGACGGGGGCCCGCACAAGCAGUGGAGUAUGUGGUUUAAUUCGACGCAACGCGAAGAACCUUACCAAGUCUUGACAUCCUGCGACGUGCAUAGAAAUAUGUAUUUCCUUCGGGACGCAGAGACAGGUGGUGCAUGGUUGUCGUCAGCUCGUGUCGUGAGAUGUUGGGUUAAGUCCCGCAACGAGCGCAACCCUUACUGUCAGUUACUACGCAAGAGGACUCUGGCAGGACUGCCGUUGACAAAACGGAGGAAGGUGGGGAUGACGUCAAAUCAUCAUGCCCUUUAUGACUUGGGCUACACACGUACUACAAUGGCGUUAAACAAAGAGAAGCAAGACCGCGAGGUGGAGCAAAACUCAGAAACAACGUCCCAGUUCGGACUGCAGGCUGCAACUCGCCUGCACGAAGUCGGAAUUGCUAGUAAUCGUGGAUCAGCAUGCCACGGUGAAUACGUUCCCGGGCCUUGCACUCACCGCCCGUA